rnacentral:snRNA from 1 species
AUCACUUCUCAGCCUUUUGGCUAAGAUCAAGUGUAGAAAAUUCAUAUGCUUUUUCCAAGGGAAAAAUACUAAUGUAUUAUAAUGUGUGAUUAAGCAAAAUGUAU